CAGGUUACCAUAUGGGAAGUUCUACGAGCACAGCGACCAUCAAAUACCAUACAGUCGGAUGAAGACCAAGCUCUUCAGAGAGCAAUUCAAGAAAGUAUGGCUUCUUACUUAAGCUCUUCCGAUAAUUUACCACCAGAAAACGAAGUUAGAGGAGAAGCGAACAAUGACGAAUCUCAAUUGGAGCUGGCAUUAAAAUUAUCGGAACAACAAAAAGAAGAGGACGAGAGAAAAAGACGAGAAGAAGAAGACAUAUUGGAAAGAAUUUUACAAUUAUCUCUAACGGAAAAGUAACUUAGGCUCCUUACUUGUGAUACGAUUAAAGGGUCCCCUAAAUCCAAAAAUGUAAAAUUUCUGGGGAGUCAUUGUUUGACCGAUAUCUUUAACAGAGCCAGGAAAGUAAAAGUAGGAGUCCACGACUUCGUUUUCCAUGAACAAAGGCAUUAAAGUGACAACGUCCACGGUCUCUGAUGCGACGAGUGCACUCUUAAUUCGCUAAUUUAAACAUAAUAAACAGCAAAGAGAAGUGAUCGUUAUUAUUAUUUCUUAACAAAUUUACAUGCCAAGUAUGGGGUCGCUGUUAUGCAAUAAUAAUGGCCUAUAUAAAAAAAACUAGAAGCAGUCUUGAAUUGCACGUGUGCGUGACUUAUUCGGAUACAAAUUAUUAUAAUGAGGAUAUCUAUAUUUUCUUUAUUUUCUUAACUUUUAAGGAAAAUGUUAUAUAUUGAUAGGACUAAAUUUUUUCUCAUAUUUGAGAAAUUUGUGAAGGUAAUAAAAUUAAAAAGUUAUAUUCUAAACUAAGUAUACAUAGCGUAUAUAAUUUAAAAUACUGGGUAAUAUAUACAGUAUAUUAUUUAUCUUUUCGGCAUUUGUGAAA